rnacentral:rRNA from 1 species
GACGAGCCACACAAGCGUUAUUCGGAAUUACUGGGCUUAAAGGGUGCGUAGGCGGCGUAGAAAGUUGGGUGUGAAAUCCCUCAGCUUAACUGAGGAAGGGCGCCCAAAACUACUAUGCUCGAGGGAGAUAGAGGAGUGCGGAACUUAGGGUGGAGCGGUGAAAUGCGUUGAUAUCCUAGGGAACACCGGUGGCGAAAGCGGCACUCUGGAUCUCUUCUGACGCUGAGGCACGAAAGCUAGGGUAGCAAACGGG